AGGAGCAACAGCCCUAGUGGCGGGGCCAGCUCUGGAGCCCUGGAGUCAGCCCCCGCAGUAGCUCCAGAGCUCUCCGUCUGCAGGGCCUGGAGGCUCCGGGGCGGG
rnacentral:pre_miRNA from 1 species